rnacentral:rRNA from 1 species
GACGAACCGUACGAACGUUAUUCGGAAUUACUGGGCUUAAAGGGUGCGUAGGCGGCGCAGAAAGUUGGGUGUGAAAUCCCUCGGCUUAACCGAGGAAUUGCGCCCAAAACUACUGUGCUCGAGGGAGGUAGAGGUGAGCGGAACUUAGGGUGGAGCGGUGAAAUGCGUUGAUAUCCUAAGGAACACCGGUGGCGAAAGCGGCUCACUGGACCUCUUCUGACGCUGAGGCACGAAAGCUAGGGUAGCAAACGGG